rnacentral:tRNA from 1 species
AAUAAGGUGCCUGAAUAAAGGGUUAUCUUGAUAGGAUAAAUAAUGCAAUCACUUGCCCUUAUUA